UGCAGUCGAACGCUUCUUUUUCCACCGGAGCUUGCUCCACCGGAAAAAGAGGAGUGGCGAACGGGUGAGUAACACGUGGGUAACCUGCCCAUCAGAAGGGGAUAACACUUGGAAACAGGUGCUAAUACCGUAUAACAAUCGAAACCGCAUGGUUUUGAUUUGAAAGGCGCUUUCGGGUGUCGCUGAUGGAUGGACCCGCGGUGCAUUAGCUAGUUGGUGAGGUAACGGCUCACCAAGGCCACGAUGCAUAGCCGACCUGAGAGGGUGAUCGGCCACAUUGGGACUGAGACACGGCCCAAACUCCUACGGGAGGCAGCAGUAGGGAAUCUUCGGCAAUGGACGAAAGUCUGACCGAGCAACGCCGCGUGAGUGAAGAAGGUUUUCGGAUCGUAAAACUCUGUUGUUAGAGAAGAACAAGGAUGAGAGUAACUGUUCAUCCCUUGACGGUAUCUAACCAGAAAGCCACGGCUAACUACGUGCCAGCAGCCGCGGUAAUACGUAGGUGGCAAGCGUUGUCCGGAUUUAUUGGGCGUAAAGCGAGCGCAGGCGGUUUCUUAAGUCUGAUGUGAAAGCCCCCGGCUCAACCGGGGAGGGUCAUUGGAAACUGGGAGACUUGAGUGCAGAAGAGGAGAGUGGAAUUCCAUGUGUAGCGGUGAAAUGCGUAGAUAUAUGGAGGAACACCAGUGGCGAAGGCGGCUCUCUGGUCUGUAACUGACGCUGAGGCUCGAAAGCGUGGGGAGCAAACAGGAUUAGAUACCCUGGUAGUCCACGCCGUAAACGAUGAGUGCUAAGUGUUGGAGGGUUUCCGCCCUUCAGUGCUGCAGCUAACGCAUUAAGCACUCCACCAGGAGAGUACGACCGCAAGGUUGAAACUCAAGGAAAUUGAACGGG
rnacentral:rRNA from 1 species